CUUAGCCAGUCCUUGUAAUUGGUUCCGGUCAGUCGGUUGGUCUCAAGAAUACGGGUCAAAGGGUUUGAAGCUGACAUUGUAUCUGCAGAGAGUAAAGAUUCUAGUUAGACUUUUGUACCUGAUCCUAAUCUGUUCUGAGGUCUUUUAGAACAAAUGUAACUCCCACUAUUUUCUCGAAUCGCUCACACUCCCCUGGUAGGAAAACGGAAAUCCCACACGACUAGGGUUUCUAGUGGGUACUGCGGUCCCACCAAUUUACAUGCCACCUCACCUAACAGUUAUUGGUGACACAUAGAUUGAUGAAUGUACAACUCUUGUACAAUGCUUCUCAAGCAUGUUAAAGUGUAACUUGGUCUCUAAGCCAUGAAAACCUCACCUAACAGUUAUUGGUCUCAUUUCUUAGUUAAGUCAGACCCACCGUAUAACCGUAGGAAUAAAGUCGUCAUUGGGUCCUCACCUAACAGUUAUUGGUGCCCAACCCCACCUUUAUCCUACA
rnacentral:lncRNA from 1 species